rnacentral:tRNA from 1 species
GCCCUGGGGGCCCAGUGGUUAAAGCACUUGGCUGCUAACCAACAGAUCGGUGAUUCGAACCCACUCCAUGGGA